GACGAACGCUGGCGGCGCGCCUAACACAUGCAAGUCGAACGAGCGAGAGAGAGCUUGCUUUCUUGAGCGAGUGGCGAACGGGUGAGUAACGCGUGAGGAACCUGCCUCAAAGAGGGGGACAACAGUUGGAAACGACUGCUAAUACCGCAUAUGCCCACGGUGCCGCAUGGCACAGAGGGAAAAGGAGCAAUCCGCUUUGAGAUGGCCUCGCGUCCGAUUAGCUAGUUGGUGAGGUAACGGCCCACCAAGGCGACGAUCGGUAGCCGGACUGAGAGGUUGAACGGCCACAUUGGGACUGAGACACGGCCCAGACUCCUACGGGAGGCAGCAGUGGGGAAUAUUGCACAAUGGGGGAAACCCUGAUGCAGCGACGCCGCGUGGAGGAAGAAGGUCUUCGGAUUGUAAACUCCUGUUGUUGGGGAAGAUAAUGACGGUACCCAACAAGGAAGUGACGGCUAACUACGUG
rnacentral:rRNA from 1 species